ensembl:rRNA 5S_rRNA 5S ribosomal RNA
UCACCCUGCAGUUCUUGCCUGGUGUCCCACUGAAGCUAAGCAGCAUUGAGCCUGGUCAGUACCUAGAUAGGAGACCUCCUCGGGAAAACCAAGGUUGCUGGUGGAA